GCUUCUAUUGUCCAGAGGGCACAGAGGGGGCUCAGUUGUGUCCUGCAAAUACUGUGAGAAGCUCACCAGGAGGUACCAGCCUACAGGACUGCUUACCCUGCCCACCUCAGUACUGGUGUAAACCUGGAGAUCCAGUUCUUCAUCUGUGUCCUGCCGGUCAUUACUGUGAUGGUCUGCCUGACGGUCACUUCAGCGGAGGACCCAAGCCAUGUCCUAUGUUUACCUAUCAAGCUACCCCUGGAGCAGGCAGCAAGGGUGACUGCGUGCCCUGCCCUCCUGGUUCGCACUGUAACAGCACAGGGCUCACAGACUACUCCAGCAGUCCCUGCCCGCCUGGUUACUGGUGCAGUGGCUCUGGCCCCCCCAUCUACUGCGCCGCAGGCACCAAGAGGCCACUUCCUGGAGCUGCUACACCCAGACAUUGUGAACCCUGUGCUGGGGGAACCUUCUGCCCGGACCCUCGGGCUACAGGGAAGCCCAAUGUCGAGGGAAUCCCUUGCAGGGCCUCUUAUCAAUGUCCCAUGGGUGCAGUCUCAGAGAGGCUGUGCAGAGCUGGCUCAUACUGUGGACCUCAGACUGCUGAGCCUCAAGUUUGUCCUGAAGGUUAUUUUUGUCCUGAGGGAUCCCACUCCUUCAAUACCCCCAAACAGCUCUGUCCUUUUCCACACUACUGCCCAGCCAACAGCUCUGCCAUCAAGUCCUGCGAAGGGGGCUCCAUGCCUGUCAACAGCAGUGGGCUCAGAGGAUCCAAAAGCAGCUGCUGUAGUGUGUGCGAGGGAGGCACUUACCGUCCUGAUCUCUCCCCAGUCCCACAAUGCCUUCCGUGUCCACCAGGAUACUUUUGUCCCCCAGGUAGUGACCACUACAAAAGAAACCCUUGCCCGUUUGGGUCCGUCUGUCCCAUGGGAUCCACUCAACCGAUACCCUGCCCCCCUGGCUCCUUUGGUAACCUCACUCAUGCUGAGAAAUUGGUUGACUGUUACCCAUGUCCCGCUGGCACCUUCAGCCACCUGCCUGCCCAGAGGGCCUGUUUUCCCUGUGGAAGCUCCUCUACCUCACCUGCCGGUUCCUCUUCUUGUACCUGUAUUGGUAAGAACCGUGCCUUCCAGCACUCUGAUGGCUCAUGUGUGUGUAGAACUGGCUUUAUCUUCUACAAUGAACUGGAUUUGAAAAGCUCCACCUCUGACAGUGAAUCGGACUGCCAGCCUGAGUUGAGCAGGCGUUGUGCCACAGGACAGGUACGCCUGGCAGCAUCCAGAGAGUGUGUGCCACCUUCCCUCCACUCCUGUAAUAUCGCCUGCGGACCACAUGGAGGAACUCUGGAUUUGGAGAUGGGAAUGUAUGAAUCUCUUAACAAUUUUAAAACUACUAAAGCUAUACAGUAUGUAGUGAAGGGAUCAAUUAUGCCAAUGUGGUAA
rnacentral:lncRNA from 1 species